rnacentral:rRNA from 1 species
UACGUAGGCAGCAAGCGUUGUUCGGAAUUACUGGGCGUAAAGAGUGUGUAGGCGGACUCUUAAGUCGGUGGUGAAAUCCUGGAGCUCAACUCCAGAACUGCCUUCGAUACUGAGAGUCUUGAGUCCGGGAGAGGUGAGUGGAACUGCGAGUGUAGAGGUGAAAUUCGUAGAUAUUCGCAAGAACACCAGUGGCGAAGGCGGCUCACUGGCCCGGUACUGACGCUGAGGUGCGAAAGCGUGGGGAGCAAACAGG